AACGAACGCUGGCGGCAGGCCUAACACAUGCAAGUCGAGCGGGCGUAGCAAUACGUCAGCGGCAGACGGGUGAGUAACACGUGGGAACGUGCCCUUCAGUUCGGAACAACCCAGGGAAACUUGGGCUGAUACCGGAUACGCCCCGGACUUGAUCCGGGGGAAAGAUUUAUCGCUGAAGGAUCGUCCCGCGUCUGAUUAGCUGGUUGGUGAGGUAACGGCUCACCAAGGCGACGAUCAGUAGCUGGUCUGAGAGGAUGAUCAGCCACACUGGGACUGAGACAUGGCCCAGACUCCUACGGGAGGCAGCAGUGGGGAAUAUUGGACAAUGGGCGCAAGCCUGAUCCAGCCAUGCCGCGUGAGUGAUGAAGGCCCUAGGGUUGUAAAGCUCUUUCACCGGUGAAGAUAAUGACGGUAACCGGAGAAGAAGCCCCGGCUAACUUCGUGCCAGCCGCCGCGGUAA
rnacentral:rRNA from 1 species